GAUGAAGAACGUAGCGAAAUGCGAUAAGUAGUGUGAAUUGCAGAAUUCAGUGAAUCAUCGAAUCUUUGAACGCACAUUGCGCCCUUUGGUAUUCCAAAGGGCAUGCCUGUUCGAGCGUCAUUUGUACCCUCAAGCUCUGCUUGGUGUUGGGUGUUUGUCCCGCCUUGCGCGUGGACUCGCCUCAAAGCAAUUGGCAGCCGGCAUAUUGGCCUGGAGCGCAGCACAAUUUGCGCCUCUUGUCAUGAUUGUUGGCAUCCAUCAAGACCAUUUUUUUGCUCUUGACCUCGGAUCAGGUAGGGAUACCCGCUGAACUUAAGCAUAUCAAUAAGCGGAGGA
rnacentral:misc_RNA from 1 species